rnacentral:rRNA from 1 species
UGAGCAAUCUGCCUAGAUGUGGGGGAUAGCCGGCCCAACGGCCGGGUAAUACCGCAUACGCUCUCCUGGUGGCAUCACCGGGUGAGGAAACUUCCGAGGCGUCUAGAGGAGCUCGCGGCCUAUCAGCUAGUUGGUGAGGUAAUGGCUCACAAGGCGACGAUGCGUAGCCGACCUGAGAGGGUGAUCGGCCACAUUGGAACUGAGACACGGUCCAGAUCCGUACGGG